AUUAGAUUUUGAAUUAAAAUUUAAAGUUGAGAUAAAAGACAACGUGUCGUUUGAGACUCGGAGAAUUUUUAAUUUAUGAGCCGUUAAUUUUACACCAGUAAUCUCUGAUGCACCCGGCACCUCUUCUUCUUCUCUCUCUCAUUUCGUUUUAACACUUGUCAAUCAUUUCUGCGACAGCAACCAACGUGGUCCGUUUCCCCCUUUGAGGAACAGUUUAGGCCAGAAGAUCAGGACCGGCAUUCAAGCCUUCUUCCGUGGCUGGCUCGCCGAACUCACAUUCUAAGGUACUAUUCUCCUCCUCUUCGUCUUAAUCUUCACCUUCAUCUUCAUCUUUUUCCUUUUUUCUUUUUUAAAUUUGAAGCUUAUUUACUGUUAGGUUUUAGGAUCGAUUUUGUUUAGUGUGGUUUCGUCAUAUAUCUGUAGAAUUAGGAAUGUUUGUAAGUUAUGAAAAAUUGCAGUUAACAAAAGGGAGAAUUGCUUCUAAACUAAUACAAGUUAUCAAACUAGAAAAGACUUCAACAGAGAGUAGAAUAGCGCUUUAAAAAGAACUUGCAUUUUUGUUUUUUCAAUUUAUCAAAGAAUUUCAAAAGUGCUUUUUAAUAAACGAAAAUGCCUGUAGCUUUCUCCAAGCUGUCUAGAAAUUAAAUUUAUUGUUCAAAACUCAGUAACAGGCUAGAGUGGUCAAUUAGGAUAUAUUUGAUUGUAACUGUCAUAAAUAAU